UCGGCGUGCACCGACCACUAGCCAUGCAGUCGAGCGGAUGACGGGAGCUUGCUCCUUGAUUCAGCGGCGGUAGGGUGAGUAAUGCCUAGGAAUCUGCCUGGUAGUGGGGGACAACGUUUCGAAAGGAACGCUAAUACCGCAUACGUCCUACGGGAGAAAGCAGGGGACCUUCGGGCCUUGCGCUAUCAGAUGAGCCUAGGUCGGAUUAGCUAGUUGGUGGGGUAAUGGCUCACCAAGGCGACGAUCCGUAACUGGUCUGAGAGGAUGAUCAGUCACACUGGAACUGAGACACGGUCCAGACUCCUACGGGAGGCAGCAGUGGGGAAUAUUGGACAAUGGGCGAAAGCCUGAUCCAGCCAUGCCGCGUGUGUGAAGAAGGUCUUCGGAUGGUAAAGCACUUUAAGUUGGGAGGAAGGGCAGUAAGUUAAUACCUUGCUGUUUUGACGUUACCGACAGAAUAAGCACCGGCUAACUCUGUGCCAGCAGCCGCGGUAAUACAGAGGGUGCAAGCGUUAAUCGGAAUUACUGGGCGUAAAGCGCGCGUAGGUGGUUUGUUAAGUUGGAUGUGAAAGCCCCGGGGCUCAACCUGGGGAACUGCAUCCAAAAACUGGGCAAGCUAGAGUACGGUAGAGGGUGGUGGAAUUUUCCCUGUGUAGCGGUGAAAUGCGUAGGAUAUGAGGAAGGAACACCAGUGGCCGAAAGGCGACCACCUGUACUGAUACUGACCCUUG
rnacentral:rRNA from 1 species